AUCUUUGCGCAGAGGCGAUAUCAUAGCCAAUGAGGUUUAUCCGAGGCGUGAUUAUUGCUAGUUGAAAACUUAUCCCAAUACCCCGCACAGGAGAUGUGAAAUAUCAUCACUGAUGCAAUUUUUAAUGGUCUCUACGGAGC
rnacentral:snRNA from 1 species